AGUGAACGCUGGCGGCAGGCCUAACACAUGCCAGUCGAGCGGCAGCGCGGGGGCAACCCUGGCGGCGAGCGGCGGACGGGUGAGGAAUUCGUCGGAAUCUGCCUUUUUGUGGGGGAUAACGUAGGGAAACUUACGCUAAUACCGCAUACGUCCUACGGGAGCAAGUGGGGGACCGCAAGGCCUCACGCAGAAAGAUGAGCCGACGACCGAUUAGCUAGUUGGUGGGGUAAAGGCCCACCAAGGCGACGAUCGGUAGCUGGUCUGAGAGGAUGAUCAGCCACACUGGGACUGAGACACGGCCCAGACUCCUACGGGAGGCAGCAGUGGGGAAUAUUGGACAAUGGGCGCAAGCCUGAUCCAGCCAUGCCGCGUGUGUGAAGAAGGCCUUCGGGUUGUAAAGCACUUUUGUCCGGAAAGAAAUCCCUGGAGCUAAUACCUUCGGGGGAUGACGGUACCGGAAGAAUAAGCACCGGCUAACUUCGUG
rnacentral:rRNA from 1 species